GAUAUAAAUAUUCUGACUGGAGUUGAAGGCAUCAGUCUGUCGACGGCAAACUAAAGACAAUGAAGUUCUACGUUGUGUUCGUGCUCUUUGCUUUUCUGGCUGUGACCAAAGCAGCACCAGUAGAAGAUUUGGUUACAGUGGAGGCUGCUCCUGAUGAUGAUCCCUCACCUGCAAAAUUUCUGAUUGAAGACCCCGUUGAUUACAAAGAACCAGUUAGAGAAGAGGAGGAGACACACGAGGAACAUGCUGAAGAAGCUCCACGGAGUCCCGACAAUCUGCAUCACCAUGUUGAAGGAGAAGAUGAGCCAUUAG